UGAUUGUGCCACUGCACUGCAGCCCAGAGGACAAAGUAAGACCCUGUCUCUGAAAAAAAAACAAAAAAGAGAACAAAAAGGAAUAUAACCAUGUACUAUUUGUAUGAUAAAAAAUAAAUUUAAAUUGCCUCUUAUUUUAAAGAGAGCCUACCAAAUUUAAUUUUAAAAUGACCAUACAAUUGCAAUCAACAGUGGUUGAUUUGGGGCAUGGAGGAGAAAUAUCUUUCCUCAGAGGUACCGACCUCAAAAUUCUGGACCAAGAAGGAUCUUACAAUGCAGUUAGCUUUUUGUCAUAUUUGGAGAGAAUAUACUCACAGUUUCUCAGUCCAACUGUAUGCUUUCCAUACAUUUCCAUCAAUGUAAGAAAUAUAGUUUCCUUGGAAAUUUCUGUGAAGAAACACAGUUUAUAUCCUUGAAUAGGUAGGAAAACAAUGAACACGAUAAGUAAAAGAAUCAUUGCAACCUUGUUGGGGAUAUUCAGAAACAGAAAAUAACACCUGCUUUCUCAUUUCCAGAGCUAUCAGCUUCCCAGUUUGCACAAUUCAUCAAGAAAUUAUGCGGGGUCACUGGCACAAAUGAUGAGGCAUCUCCUGGAAGCUUAACUUCUUAUCCAUCCCAUCUCUUGGACAGAUGAUGCCAGUUAAUUACUUUGAAUGCUCCUCCACCAAGCCAAGGCCAGACUCCUGCAAUCAUAGGAUGGCAACACCACCUCUAAAGCACAGAACUUCAGGCUUUGCUUCGGAAGUGGCACCAUGGUCUCUUCAUUUUCCCUUUCUUCAAGGUCAGAAAACUGAAGCUGUUAGGAGUUUUAGUGUUAAGUUCCUUCCGAGGAUGUUAAUUAGGCUUCAAACUGUUUUGUUCUGAGAAAUAAAAACUAAACUCCAGUCAUUCAAGCUAA